GCUAAUUAAGGUCCAAACAGAGGCUAACACCUUGUUAGCCACUAGCAUAACACAACUCGAUCAAUUUCUCUACUUCAAUGGGCACGCACGCAAGGUUAAAUAAUGCACACAGCAGCUUUAUCCCAACACACUGCACAAAUACAAUGCUCUGUUUUCCAUAAGACACAAAUAUAGUUGGCCAUGCAGCCCGUGGCCCGUUGGCACGGCCCGUGGCACGACAUUUUGGCCCGGCCCGAGCACGGCACGGCCAACUACCGGGCCCGGCCCGGCACGGCCCGAGGCACCGGGCCGUGCCUGGGCCGCCACCGUGGCCCGUGGCACGGCUCAGGCACGGCUCGACGGCUCGGUGCUUAAUGUCCCAGUAAAAAAUAUAGCUUUUUAAUUUAAAAAAGAGAAAAUAUAGGUCUGUUUUGCCCAUCCAUCCGUCCUGAUUGGCCUGUUAAGAAAUGUAGCCUACUAAUUUUAAACAAAAAAAAGAAAAUAUAGGCCUGCUACUGGCCUGACACGACCUUGGCCCGGUGGCCCGCCGUGCCUUCGGGCCGGCCCGACGGCCCGCGGGCCGUGCCUUGGGCCAUACCCCCGGCACGAGGCACGGUGAUGGCACGGCCCGGCCGGCACGACGGCACGGCGCGGCCCGGGGCAGGCACGCCGGGCCGCCGGGCCGGGCCGGCACGGCCCGAUGGCCAUCUAGACACAAACCUAACUUUCAACCAAAGUUUGAACACAAACACAGUACGUUAACAAAAGAACCCCGACCUACCAUAUGUCAGUGCUCCCUUGGCCUUCCACUGAUGGGCUGCAGCGCUCGCCUUGACGAGUC
rnacentral:lncRNA from 1 species